CGGAGGAAAAGAAACCAACAGGGAUUGCCUUAGUAACGGCGAGUGAAGCGGCAAAAGCUCAAAUUUGAAAUCUGGCGCAAGCCCGAGUUGUAAUUUGAAGAAGGUAAUUUUUGGGGAGAUGUCGACAAAAGUUCCUUGGAAUAGGACGUCAUAGAGGGUGAGAAUCCCGUUUUGUUGACCUCUCUCUCCUUGUAAAAUGCUUUCGAAGAGUCGAGUUGUUUGGGAAUGCAGCUCUAAGUGGGUGGUAAAUUCCAUCUAAAGCUAAAUAUUGGCGAGAGACCGAUAGCGAACAAGUACAGUGAUGGAAAGAUGAAAAGAACUUUGAAAAGAGAGUGAAAAAGUACGUGAAAUUGUUGAAAGGGAAGGGUUUUAAGGGAGACUUGGGGGGUAAUGAACAAUUUUCCUUUGGGAAGGUGCACUCAUUGCUCUCUGGGCCAAUAUGGGUUUGAAGAGUGGGAUAAAAGGGUAGCAAUGUG
rnacentral:rRNA from 1 species